AGACUCUUACAAAAUUCAAAUCAAAAGAUAAGGGGAUUACGCGAUAAACCGAGUCAGUUGCAUAAAAAAAAGAGAUUCAUACUAAAGAGAUGCAACAAGUCAGUAAUAGUAAGAAGCCUGGAAUUAGCAACAUGUCCAUACAAAAAAAAGGAUGUUGCAAAGACCGCGGCUAAAAAAAGUGUACUUCUCAGUAUAGGUCGUGCCUUCAGACAUUAA